GAGUAAGGGUGUGACUAGUGACAGAGAGAGGGAGGGUGUGACUAGUGAGAGUGAGGGAGGUGGUGAUUAGUGACAGAGGGAGGAAUGGGGUGACUAUCACUGUGUCACCCCCUUCCUCACUCUGUCACUAGUCACCCACUCCCUCCCUCACUCGGUCACUAGUCACCCUCUCUCUCACUCUGUCACCAGUCAUUCCCUCACUCUGUCACCAAUUAUCCCUUCCUUCCCUCACUCUGCCACUAGUCAUCCCUUCCCUCACUC